AUUGAACGCUGGCGGCAGGCCUAACACAUGCAAGUCGAACGGUAACAGGAAGAAGCUUGCUUCUUUGCUGACGAGUGGCGGACGGGUGAGUCAUGUCUGGGAAACUGCCUGAUGGAGGGGGAUAACUACUGGAAACGGUAGCUAAUACCGCAUAACGUCGCAAGACCAAAGAGGGGGGCCUUCGGGCCUCUUGCCGUCGGAUGUGCCCAGAUGGGAUUAGCUAGUAGGUGGGGUAACGGCUCACCUAGGCGACGAUCCCUAGCUGGUCUGAGAGGAUGACCAGCCAUACUGGAACUGAGACACGGUCCAGACUCCUACGGGAGGCAGCAGUGGGGAAUAUUGCACAAUGGGCGCAAGCCUGAUGCAGCCAUGCCGCGUGUAUGAAGAAGGCCUUCGGGUUGUAAAGUACUUUCAGCGGGGAGGAAGGGAGUAAAGUUAAUACCUUUGCUCAUUGACGUUACCCGCAGAAGAAGCACCGGCUAACUCCGUG
rnacentral:rRNA from 1 species